rnacentral:rRNA from 1 species
GACGAACGCUGGCGGCGUGCCUAAUACAUGCAAGUAGGACGCACAGUUUAUACCGUAGCUUGCUACACCAUAGACUGUGAGUUGCGAACGGGUGAGUAACGCGUAGGUAACCUGCCUAUUAGAGGGGGAUAACUAUUGGAAACGAUAGCUAAUACCGCAUAACAGUAUGUAACACAUGUUAGAUGCUUGAAAGAUGCAAUUGCAUCGCUAGUAGAUGGACCUGCGUUGUAUUAGCUAGUAGGUAGGGUAAUGGCCUACCUAGGCGACGAUACAUAGCCGACCUGAGAGGGUGAUCGGCCACACUGGGACUGAGACACGGCCCAGACUCCUACGGGAGGCAGCAGUAGGGAAUCUUCGGCAAUGGGGGGAACCCUGACCGAGCAACGCCGCGUGAGUGAAGAAGGUUUUCGGAUCGUAAAGCUCUGUUGUUAAGGAAGAACGAGUGUGAGAAAUGGAA